CUACUAAAAUAAAAUCCAUGGGCAAAUUCAACCCCUCGGAAUAGGGAAUUUACGCACAGUUGAAGAAUUCCAACCUUAACACUGUAUGAAGCCAUUUUUUUUUUUUUUUUUGGAUUUUAAGAAACUCCUCUAUUUACUGCGGGGAUCCUCAUUUUGCGUAUUAAUUACUCUCGAUGUUGAGCCUGAGAGAGCGCUCUUACAAACUUGCCUCCUCUCCUUUCCACUGGGAGUGAACGCAUGGUGGCCGGAACAGUUCGACACUCUACUUUGGGGCAAGUACCUCCCGAAUACUUGUAACAAAUGGUGCAGUGUCUCAACCCUAUCUUCAAAAGCUGACCACAUCCUAGUUCAAUCAGUACAAUGGUUCAGAACACACUGCUGGCUCCCAAAGAUUUCUAAAUAGAUGUUCCUGUACAGUCUCCUAUGUGUUUGCUUCGUUAAGGUACACUCUUAAUGCCCCGUACCAGCAAGUUUCCCAACGAUUUUGAUUACAACCAUAUCUCAGUGUUUACUUUCGGUAGGGUUCGCAAAAAUGUCAUCUAAAACAUAGACAAUAUGUACACUGCACUUCAGGAACAACAUUCGAGAGCAUCUGUCCCUGGGAUUUUGUGGAUAACAUUACCAAAUGCUAGCU